rnacentral:lncRNA from 1 species
UCGACAUAGGGUUUUUGUAGUUAUACAUUGUGUAGUUUUUUUUUUUUUUUGUUCUUGUUUUUGUCGACAAUUCAUUUCAUAUAAAAUAUUUGUGGAAUAUAAUAUUUUAUUUAAAUAUAUAUUUCCUAUCAUUUGAUAAGAGAGAGAUCAAAUAUCCAUUUAGGUCAGAUUUGUUUCUUUUCUGAUUAAAUUAUUUUGCUAGCUAAACAUUCCUGCUUUUCCGACGAUAAUGCCAAGUGACAAUAUACACUACCAAAAAAACACAACUACGAUGAUCGUCAUCCUCGUACAAGUAAAAAGAAAAAUGAAAGGAACAUUUCUAAUUCAUCGUCAUCACUAGCCGUGAAAUUUUUUCGAAAUGGAUGGAUAUAUUAUAUAGAAUGGAAUAAAUGAUUAAUCAUCAUAUAAUAAUGAUUUCUAUUAUUAUAAUUCUAUAUAGUUUUACAAAUAUCCAAAAUGAAGAAAGAACAAAAAAAAAAAGAAUCCUCAGCUGUCACACUCUUCAAUUUUUUAUAAGAAAAUAAAAAAAUAGGGUGCCAAAAAUAAAUAAUAUCAACCAAGUAAAUAGUUAAAAUUAAAUUCGACAAGAGCCAGUAAUCAGAAAUUGACAAGAUGAGAGGAGAAAUCGGGAAGCGGUGAGGAUGAAGGAGGACAAUACAAAGAGAAACCACCAAUCCGAACGAAGUUUCCAUCUCUCGGAAGAAUCACGGCGGUGAGUUUGGCUAGAGCCGUCGUGUACUCCACUAGUAUCUCAGCAAUGGUUACGACAGAGAUCAUUUUAACGACCAAAAUGAUGAUCUAGAAGAAGAAGAAGAAGUCUCUCUUGAGAGUCUUUUUCAGACAAGAAAUGGCUGUAUUCUGUUGUUAUGACUUGUGAGAGAGAGAGAGAUCUCGUAUCUUCUUUAUAUAUAGGUAGGACUGUAGGAGUAAGACUAGAUCGUUUCGUUUGGUUUCUUUUCUCUUCUGACGUCGUCGUCGUCGUUUACUCGGACUCGUGUUUCGUACUUUAAUAUUUUGUUUCACUUUUAUAAUAUAAUGAAGCGCCUCUUACGCGCAGUUCACAUUAGCAUUACCUGUGCCUCUAAUCUUCUGAAUCUGAUCAUCAAUUAAUCUAAUGGAUUUUGUUUACUAAUAUUAUUAUCUAACAGAUACAUCAUUUGUCAUGAUACAUAAAAUAAAUAACCACCACAACAUGUACAUUUGACGAAAUUAUAAAUCACCUAGACAAGUACAUAGUAAAUAAUUUCAAGAACUGAUCAUGUUACGUUACGUACGGAGUACAACAAUACUAUAGAACGUUCGAAAACAUUAAUAUCAGUGUUGUUUAAGAGUUAUUACGAGUUAAGAGUUGAAACGGUAAUUUUGCAAUUUGCUAAUGUAAACAAAAUUUGGUGUCCUAGUCAUAAUGUAUUUGUUUAAUUGCUGAAAGCUAAAGGUCACCUUCGGAUAAGGGUACACUGGGGCCAUUCAUGUGCCCAUCCUACGUCUUACCAACCUGGUUUUCGUCUCAUCUUCUUCCAUUAUCUAUUUUCGGAUUCCGUUUUUUAUGUAGAGAGAGAUACAUCAUUUCCAUUUGAACACGAGAAUUUAAUUCCGGUGGACAAGAACAUGCAUCUCUCUUUUUAUAGUUCUAUCAAAACAAAACUCAAUUAUUGAAAAUUCAUCAUUACCGGUCUUAUGAUUUAUGCUUGGUAUGAUUGAACUACACCACUCAUUUUAGCAACAUAAAACAUAUCUAAUGUUUUGUAAAAACUAAUUCAUCUUAACUUUUCUUUAUGAUCUUGUGAAUUGGGAACAUUCUUUUCUUUGAGACGUACGUAGUAGUAGUAACUAGUAACAGUAGUUACCCACUUUCACUUUCGUAUGUGCGUCAUCAUGCUCGCAAAAUCGCGUUUGUCCUCCUCUAGUCUAGCUAUCAUCUUCCAAUGUUUAUAAAAAUCAUAUUAAUAUCGUUUUCAAUCGUCCCAAAAGGAUCAAAACUCUUCAAGGAACCAAAUCGGUAAGUUGAACAUUCAGAGUGAAAAAUAUAUAAAUUAUAAUCAACUUGAUUACGUCAUUAGCGACUUUGUAUAUCCCAUUUUUAAAAAAUUACUGACGUUAACAAGACCAUUAAUCGUCAAAUGAGCCAUCGUUUCAAUAAUAUUCAACCAUCAUCAUUAAGUUAAUCAAAAUUUAACCCCGAGUGCCAAUUAAGGAACAAAAAUCAAGAGUUAAUCAAAAUUAAUAAUCUCUAUUAAUUUUUCCGAUAUACAGAUUUACAAAAGCUCUAAAAAACGAUUCAAAACUCUCUCCAUAGGAAGAGAGAGAGACGUGGAAAAAUCUCAGCCGUCCGUGUAAUCUUGGAUUAGAUGAUCAGAAAUCAACGAGAUGAGAAGAGAAGUCCGGGAUCGGCGAGGAUCUAGUAGCACUACUAGUACUACUCGACGGAGAAGGACAAGGAAGAGAGAAACCAGCGAUCCGUAAGACGUUGCUUUCCCCUUGUCGUCUCGGUGGAAAGAUCCCGGCGGUGAGUUUCGCGAGAGCGGCUGUGUAUUCUACCAAUAGCUCGGCGAUGAUUACUACGGAGAUCAUGGUUGUGUGAAAGAUUCAACUGAGAGGUAUUGCAGGAGGAGGAGGAGAAGAAGAAGAAGGAUCUAGAAGUCUCUAAGAUAUUUUCUGAGAGAUGCGAAUUUGGUUUGGUGUUGCUUGCUUGUGAAAAAUGAAGACCUCUUUUUAGCUCUUCAUAUAUCUCUCUCUCGGACAGUGACACGGUCUCGUCCUUAUUUUAAUAUGUUUUUGUAAUAAAAAUAACCGCGUCCUACGCGCACACAGCUACACAUUAGCGUUUAGCUGUCCUUAUCGAGAACUUUUUUUUUUUUUUGAUAAAAGCUUAUCGAGAGCUUAUUAGUUACAUUUCUUGUCUACUUCUCGAGGUGAAGAUCAAGAAGUAGAAGACUAGUAGUAAUUGUACUAAUUUUACUUUUGUUUAAUUUGAGCUGGCUUUAUUUUAUUAGUAAUUAGUACUUACGUGUGUUUUGUCAAAAUGAUAAGGAUUUUUUUUAGAUAUUUUAAUAUUUCACUAAAUCCUAUAUAUGCUGGUCUCACAGUAAACUUGCCAACUUUGUUUUUUCUCCCCGUCAAACUUGAAAAUACAAAGUCAUCAUUGUGGACUGAUUACAACUUACAAGUUUGGUUAUUCAGUUUGAACUUAGUUUUCUAAUUCCAUUUGCAAACAAUGAUUGUGAUUAUGAAGAUAAACAAAGGAGCUCUGUCGGAAUAAAGCCCACUUUACGAAUCUAGUUUGUGGAGUUAUCUUGCACAAGUUGUCGAUAUCAUUAUUAUUAUUUUCGAAAACUACGAUUACAUCCGGCGAAUCUAUGAACUACAGUAUAUGUUUUGUUUGGAUACCACGAAUUAGUUGGGGUUUUGUUGCACUUCUCAUAAUACAAACAAGGACAUGGGUUUAAGAAUUCUUACUAGUCUAUGGUUGGAGCUCUAUUUACACUUUAUUGGCACAUAUAAUUGGGUUAUCAAUUUAGAUUGAACUAAUACUCUAUGGAAAUAAUACUCUAUGGAAAUAAUAUAAGAUUAUUAAUAAAAUAGAGAGUACCAUUUGGUAUAAAAAAAGCAAGGAAACAAAAGAGUUUCGGUUAUAAAAUUGAUGAGGAUUGUAUCAAGCUUGACGUGUUCACAACUUGGCUGAUGUUAUAUCAGCCAGCCAACAUUAAUUUAAUGAAUAUGUAUGUAAUCAUAUAAGUUAAGACAAUUCUUUGUAUUUAAUUUCGAUAAUGAGUUGUACUCGAUUGUAACAAUCUGAAUGAAAUCAUUUGUUAAUUAUCGUAUAUGUUUGGCCUAGUCUUCGAUACGAGUACACACAUCUAGUGGAGUACGGCGUAACCAAAUAUGGAGUACAAUAUUAAGGUUUUCAAAAUGAGUUUACAAUAAACAAUUUUCGAUGCAUCACAAAAGAUCUUAGAGUAGAGAGAUCGUUUAAAAAUUUGCAUUUGUUUAAUCUGUGUCAAUUGUAUCCCCAAAGGUAAAAGGAGAUAAAUAUGAACAUGCAUGUCCUAUGGAAUCAUAAAUAUAGCAUAGAUCAUAAAUUUGGGCAAUCUAGUGAUAGACAUAAUUGUUUAUAAAUAUUAAAAUUUUAUAAUUUUUUCAGAAAACUCAACAUAUAUUAUUGUAAUUGGUGAAUCAAAAUUUUAUUUAUGUCAUAUAUAUAUAUAUGUUCUCUUAUAUAAUAUAUAUAUGUUCUCUUAUAUAAACUAGUAUUAUUUUUUUCAAUUAUAUAUUUAUUUCCGACACUUUUUCCAAAUAUAUAUGAUUUUUUCUAUUUCUAUUUUUCCUUUUUAUUCUUGAUAUGGAUUUCCUAUUUCUAUUUGUAUUUGAUUAAUUUAUUUGUUAAAUAUUACAUUAAGAACAAGAGCUUGAAUUCUUAUUGAAAAGCUGUGAAACGAAUCUUCGAAAUCGAAAGUGCGUGUCUUCGGAUUGAAUCUCUCUGCAGCUUACGACCACUCGCCCCUCACAAAUUUUCAAUUCGAAAACGACUAAUACAAGCUCUCCCCAAGUCUGAGCCUGAACCGGAGCCUUAGCCUGAGCUGAGGCCUGUAUCCGUAUACAGGUUUGUGAUUUAUGCCUCUUACCUCAUCGUAUUGCUGCUUUGAUUUUACCAAUCCCGGUGCUUCGGGAUCCUCUCUUAUUCAUAUCUGCUCGAGUCUGAUACAAUUUCUGUUGACCCGACAACUUAAAAAUUGAACCUUUUCGAGACCAGUGUUAAUCUCUCUGUCUCUAUGUAUCUCUAGACUCUGCUAGUGGACAUACCUUUAAAAGCCCCGACAGAUGAAGAUCGUUCGAAGGGAUUUUGUUCGUAAUGGACCCGGAAGCGUUAAGGUUUGAUUGAUUCCUUCGUCAUCUGGGAUUUUUUUUCUUUUCUCUUAUGUUACAAUAUCUAGUUUACAACUUCAAUUCAAAUGCUUUGCUGACUUAAAUUGAUGGUAGAUGGCGGCGGAGGACUCUGAUGAUCUAUGGUAUGCUUAUAACCUGAUUGCCAUCGGUGAUAGUGUAAUGGCUGUCACUUUUAGGUACGUUCUUCUUUCAGUUUUCGAUGCCUUUCUUGCUUUCAUGGUCUAUGGUAUGUUUAUAAUCAUGUAUCACAUUCAAAGUUCGUUGAUUUGUACGAUUUUAAUGAAAAUCCAUAAGGAGUAAAGGGAUUUGGUGUUUGGUUAACUGAUAUAGUAUCAUCCAAGAAGUUAGUAGUUACGGUUUUAUUUGUCUGCUAUCAGAAAAGUUCAGAGAGAGAUACCCGGUGGGGGAAGAGACUCUGAACGUGUUAAACUGAAGCUGGAAGUACAAGUUGAGGUAUGAUUUUAAUGGAUUGGUAUGCAAAUUUUUCAACGUCAUGCUUAAAAAAUCGCAAUAAACUAUAUUGCCUUACAUUCAUUUGCGUUAUAAAAUCAAUAUUGCGCACAUAUGUUGCUUUUUUGGGUUGUCUUUGGUCUUUUGAUUGUGGUACUCUUGACAGUGGAAGAUAUCUUUGUUUAAUUUCAUGGUCUGAUUCUCUUCAAUUCUCUAUUAUUCAAUUAGGAGGUGGACUAUGACAAAGACGCUGCUGUUUUGCGCAUUCGUGGGAAGAAUAUCCUGGAGAAUGAUCACGUAAAGGUAGAUGUGAGGCUGACUCUUACCCUAUAAUUUUUAUUUCGGUUCUGAAGCUUGUGUUGUAUCACAGAUUGGUGCAUUCCAUACUCUGGAGCUUGAGCUGAAACGGCCUUUUGUAUUGAGAAAGGUAAAUGUCCUAUUUUUACUAAUUUAAUCCUCCAGAAGUUCUGUGCUAUUUCUACCUUGUAAGUGUGACAGAAUGUGUCUUGCAAUCUGGUUUCUAUUAUAUGAACAACGCACUGCACACUCGUAUAGUGUGAUAUACCAUUUGGAAGAUAAUAUAUUUUCCUCUUUUUGUGACAACUUCAUUUGUAAUCGGUAGUGUGUACAUGGCCAAUUUUGCAGGAACUUUGGGACUCAAUGGCUCUUGAUACACUUAAGCAGGCCUCAGGUAUGAUGUUCCAAUGAUUCGACCUCCUAAUUUUUGCUAUCACAAAACUGCUAUGGUGUCUAUAUCGAUUGUUGGCAAAUUAUCCAAAUCUAUCUCCGUGUGGUCUAGGGUAGACAUUGAAUUUUAAGUUAUUAGUUUACAAGCUUUUAUGUGCAAUAUUCCAGACUUCUCCUUCUGUCUCCAAUUUAUCUUAUGCUCUUGGGCCUGCAAGUCUUUUUCAUUUAAUUCCUCGUUACGUGGCUGUUUAGACGAAAAUGCAUGUCUUAAAAAAUGUCAAAGUCUCUAAGACCUUUGUUUAUCUAUCUAAAAAGGCGUAUAUCUGAACCCUUUCACAUAAGUACUUGCCUAGUUGUCUUAACACAAUCAUUUACAGGCUUUAUGUAUGACCCAUAAUGGGUUUUGUUCAUUUGAAAUAGCUAGUAUUUCCGGUAUGCCAUGUGUUUUGAUCUCAUGUUAUCUCCCAUUUCGUAUUCCGGGUUCAUUUUUUUUUUAAACUUAUCUUUUGCACAGAUCCUGCUGCCAGUGCUGAUCUAGCUGUAGUUCUUAUGCAAGAAGGACUGGGACAGAUAUUCCUUGUCGGCAGAAGGUAAUGAUUGCAGUUUAGAAGAUCCAUUAGAUGUUAAAUUUGUUACUACUGUAGUUUGUGUAUUGUCGGCAUGUAUUUCCUUUUUUUUUUUUUCCCGCUUGGGUAGUUUUGUUUGAACAAAGUAUGCGAGGGGUUAAAUUUAACCAUCCGUUUCUGUUGUUGUUUACUUAAUUGUUUUCUUUGGCAGUGUGACAAGUAGCCGUGCACGAAUAGAAACAUCCAUCCCUAGGAAGCAUGGACCUGCAAUUGCUGGUUACGAAUCUGUAUGUUCCUUCACUUUUUCGACAUAUAUGUGCCCAAACUAUGGUUACUGGAAUUCCUUUUACAUAUCAUCCCUUCCAAUUUUUGUUUUUGGUUUUUCUGUAGGCUUUGAAGAAAUUCUUCGAGAAUGUUCUGCAGGUUUGUGUUCGUUCUCAGAAUGUUUAUGUUUUCUAACACAUACCAAAUAGAAAGUAAACCAGAGUUACACAUAUACUAAAAGUUAUUGCAAUAUCACAGGCUUUUGUGAAACAUGUUGACUUCAGUGUCGUUCGUUGUGCAGUGAUUGCAAGUCCCGGUUUUACAAAGGUUUGUCUGCCUCUUAAGACUAAUUCUAAAUUUACAUGGUUAAUUAUUGUUCAAAUUCCAGCUGAACAAGCUUAUACCUGAUGAACACAUUUACAAGGGAUACAGUUUUUCAGAUAUAUGUGUGUGUGACAAAUUUUAAGUUAUGUGCAUAUAUGACACACAUGAACAUUUGAUUGUUUCUUACCUUCAGGAUCAGUUUCAUCGCCACUUGUUGUUGGAAGCAGAAAGAAGACAGUUGAGACCUAUUAUUGAGAACAAAUCACGUAUAAUUCUGGUGCACACAAACUCUGGAUAUAGGUAGUGUUUCUGUAGAACAGCUUACUAACUCAUCAAAAUAAUGUUCUGCCACUGAAUUACCAUUGAAAGCUCAGUCUCAAAUGAUAUAAAAUGCUAAAAACUUAAGGGUGAGGCAGAAAAUUCCAACUUUUUUGUGUUUGUAUAACACUUUUCAAAUUGACCAGGUUACAUUUAUGUUUUGAUUCAUGUUUGCGGUUUCUAUUAGUCUUAACAAGUCACCUCUACUUGUUUGUAUUUCUUUUACUUGGCCACUUCUCUAAACAGCUUGUUAUUCUGCUCAUGCUAUUUUUCUUCGAUUUCUAACAUUGUUUUGGUGCACAGACAUAGCCUGGGAGAGGUUCUGCAUGCUCCCAACGUGAUGAAUAUGAUCAAAGAUACAAAAGCAGCAAAAGAGGUAAAAUAAUGUCAAUAUAGCUGAGAUAUUAUCAUUGUUAGUUGCUCAUUGAAAUCUUGGUUAGCUUAAAAGGUUUAUUAUUAUCAUCUUUUUGAUUUAAUAUUAUGUUGUUUCUUAUUUUGAAUUCGUGUGAGACCAAACAUUGCAUCAUUUUUCUUUUAUAGAAUGUGUCCCCUGUAUAGGAAGUGCUAUUCCGUAGUAAUCUAGUUAUUCUGUUCUGUAGCCAUAUUACAAGGAAAGCUUUUAUAGUUAGGUCACCGGAAAGCAUUAGGAUUCACAUACUAUGUGGUAGUGAUCCAUAAGAGUCAUUUGGUAUUUUCUUGGUCUAAGAAAGACACUCUCAGAGGCCAGUCUAAUAGAUUAGAUAUUGGUGGAUAAAGUUCUUGUAAACUGAAUGGUGGAUAGAACUGGAUGGAAGAAGCUUCUUCUAUUUUAUAUGUGUGUUCACUGUUUUGUGCAUUGUGCUCUUGAAAUAUACCCACCUGCCUGAUGUGGAUUUGCCUAUUGCAGGUCAAAGCUCUCAACGAUUUCCACACCAUGCUUUCAAAUGUCAGUUUCUUUCGUUUUCUAAUUUGCACUGAUCGGAAAGAUUUUCAUUAAGAAUCUCAAUGUGUCUUAAUAUUGUUUUGCUUUGGAAUCUAGGAUCCAGAUCGGGCAUGUUAUGGACCAAAACAUGUGGAAGUUGCUCAUGAACGAAUGGCAAUCCAAACACUUCUCAUUACGGACGAGCUUUUCAGGUUUAGUAAUGGAAAGGAAUACCAACUUUAAUGCGGCUUUUGUACUGUAGUUACAAAGGCACGUGUGAUGUAUAAAUAUGUAAUUUUGGUCCAGGAAUUCUGACGUGAAAACAAGGAAGAAGUAUGUGAAUUUGGUGGAGUCGGUGAAAGGUUCGGGAGGAGAAGCUUUUAUAUUUUCGGCGAUGCAUGUGUCAGGGGAACGUUAGUGUUUGCUUCUUUAACCCUUCUUUCUUAAUCUAAGUUAAUUGUGAUUUUGAUUAUUGUUUUUUUGUGUGGCAAACAGUUAUUAACAAGUUUUGAUGAACUUGCAGAAUUGGCACAGCUAACUGGAAUUGCAGCUCUUCUCAGGUUUCCUUUACCAGAACUCGAAGACAUUGAGAUGUAAAAUAUCCUCAGCUAUAGAAAAACACACAAAAUCAUAUAGGUCUCAUAAUUUAUAGGCUUGUCGUUCUCGUUUAAAGAGAGAUCUGUAACUCAUACAUAUAAGUUAAUCAUUCGUUGCUGUUUCAGCGUUUUUGGGUUGCAGACGAUAAAAACGUUACACCUUGUUCAAUAUUCUUCAGCUUUUCUGAUAUGAAAGACAUAUUUGUUCAGCACAUUACAAUUGUUUCUUUACAAGUGAUAUACGAAUGACCAGUUCCAUAGCGUAUGAGUGCCAUGUAAAGAUUAUACAACGAAGCAAACACUUAAAGCAUUCACAUUAUAAUUUCAACAAACACUGAAACACACAAGUCAAUUGUUAACUUUGGUUGAACGAUAAGGCGCCAACAACUUUGGUCAAACUCAUAAUUAAAGUUUACCACCAAAAACAAUGAGAUACGAACCAAUAGAAAACUAGAUAAAUAACUAUUUAAUCUCGCAAAGCAAAAACCCUUAAAGCGUAUUAAUAGAAAAGGGCAAAAAAAAAAAGAAAAACCCUAUUCGCUGUAGUGUGUCUCUCUACUCCCACAAUUCGAGCAGCCUCUGUCUGCUUGGGGAGUUCAUCAAUCGAUCAAGUCAUGGCGCAAUCUCUCGAGCUUCUGUUGAUCCAAUUCCUUAUGCCGGACAAUGAUGCUCGUCGUCAAGCUGAGGAUCAGAUCAAGCGUCUUGCCAAAGACCCUCAAGUUGUUCCUGCUCUCAUUCAGCAUCUCCGCACUGCAAAAACCCCCAACGUCCGCCAGCUCGCCGCCGUUCUCCUCCGCAAAAGAAUCACCGGACAUUGGGCCAAGCUUUCUCCUCAGCUCAAACAGCAUGUUAAGCAGUCCUUAAUCGAGAGUAUCACCGUCGAGAACAGGUUCCUCUCUCUCUUUCUCUCACUCUAUAUUUUUCUUCUCUUGUUUCAAUUCGGAUUUGACGUUUUUGUGUUUUCAUUGAAUUUAUUAGUCCGCCGGUGAGACGUGCGAGUGCUAAUGUUGUGAGUGUAGUAGCCAAGUACGCUGUUCCGGCUGGAGAGUGGCCUGACUUAUUAACCUUUCUCUUCCAGUGUAGUCAGAGUGCUCAAGAAGACCAUCGUGAAGUAACUUUCUUGUGAAAUUCUCACUGUGUCAUUUAUUUUAUGGUUGAUCGAUUUGAUGCGUUUUUGUUCACUUACGUAUAUUUAUUUUGUUGUUGCUUGUAGGUAGCAUUGAUCCUUUUCAGCUCUUUGACAGAAACGAUUGGGAACACAUUUAGGCCUUACUUUGCUGACUUGCAGGCUCUUCUACUCAAGUGUAUGCAGGAUGAAAACAGUAGUCGAGUCAGAGUUGCUGCUCUCAAGUAAUUUGUUUUUCACUGGAAUAUAUUUAUGUUUGCUCUUCUCUUGGAUCUUUAUCUCUACUCUUUACACUCUUCUGUAAUUUUAUUAGGGCGGUGGGUUCUUUUCUGGAAUUUACAAACGAUGGGGAUGAAGUGGUAAAUCUAGUGACUUUCUCUUUCUUGUUUAUGUUAUAGACAUGUUUAAACGUCUAAUAGUAUCUAAUGGGUUUCUGUAGGAUGUGUAACUUUUGAAUUUCUAUUUUGUCUGGGAAAUUUUUUUAGUUUAGAGACUGAUUUAACAUAUUUGCUUAUGCCAUUUCUAUCAGGUCAAAUUCCGAGAGUUCAUUCCCAGCAUAUUGAAUGUAUCAAGGAAAUGUAUUGCAUCUGGAGAGGAGGAUGUUGCUAUUCUUGCUUUUGAAAUUUUUGAUGAGCUGAUUGAAUCUCCUGCUCCUCUACUUGGAGAUUCUGUCAAAUCAAUUGUGCAGUUCUCUCUUGAAGUUUCCUGUAAUCAAAACCUGGAAAGUAGUACCCGUCACCAGGUUAGAUGAAUCACUCUGUUUACUUGAAAUAGGUUCGAAUUGUGAUGUUAUGACUCCUGAUGCCUCACUCCAUUUAUUUACCAGGCAAUCCAAAUAGUUUCAUGGUUGGCAAAGUACAAACAUAAUUCCCUUAAAAAACAUAAGCUAGUCAUACCAGUUUUGCAAGUUAUGUGCCCUUUACUAGCUGAGUCAUCUGAUCAAGAGGACGAUGAUGAUCUUGCUCCUGAUCGUGCAGCUGCUGAAGUUAUUGACACACUUGCAAUGAACCUGCCAAAGCAUGUCUUCCUCCCUGUUUUGGAAUUUGCUUCCAUGCAUAGUCAAAGUACAAAUCUGAAGUUUCGGGAAGCUUCUGUAACAGCUCUAGGUGUUAUAUCAGAGGGUUGCUUUGAUCUGAUGAAAGGGAAGCUGGACCCUGUUCUUAAUAUAGUCUUAGGAGCUUUAAGAGACCCUGAGCAAAUGGUUCGAGGGGCUGCAUCAUUUGCAAUAGGCCAAUUUGCCGAGCAUCUUCAGCCCGAAAUCCUUUCACAUUAUCAGAUAAUUCUUCCAUGCCUAUUAAAUGCAAUUGAUGAUACAUCUGAGGAGGUGAAGGUAAAAGUUUAGAGCAGCGAACUGAGCGUAGUCUGUGUUGUUUGUGAAAAUGCACUGCUGCCAUGAUAACAUGUAACCGUAGUUUAUUAGUAACAUUUUUCGUAAUUGUCUACAGGAAAAGUCACACUACGCCUUAGCGGCAUUCUGUGAGAACAUGGGAGAGGAAAUUGUUCCUUUACUUGAUCAUUUAAUGCAGAAGCUUAUGGCUGCCCUCGAAAGUAGCCCGCGUAAUUUACAAGAGACAUGCAUGGUACACUGAAAAUCUUUGCAAGAGUUUCUUUUGAACUGGUUUCUGAAAAUUUUAUGUAAGCUGUGUGCUACUUGCUUGCAGUCUGCAAUUGGGUCGGUUGCUGCUGCUGCAGAGCAAGCAUUCAAUCCGUAUGCUGAGAGGGUUCUAGAGUUGAUGAAGUUUUUCAUGGUGCUCACCAAGGACGAGGAUCUUCGUGCCCGUGCAAGGUCUACUGAGCUUGUAGGGAUUGUCGCAAUGUCUGUUGGGAGAAAAGAGAUGGAGGCCAUUUUGCCACCUUUCAUUGAUGCUGCAAUAUCAGUAAUGGCCUUAUCAUAUUCUCUUUCUUUGAACUGAAUAUGUUAUUUUGUGGAAGAAAGAGCUCACAAUCACAAUAUACCAGGGAUUUGAAUUGGAGUUCAGUGAGUUGCGAGAAUAUACUCAUGGUUUCUUCAGCAACGUAGCUGAAAUAUUGGAGGACAGUUUUGCGCAGGUGUGCAUGCAUUUUCUUUCAUAUGGACUUUAUAACAGCUUUGGAUUCAGUGAUUAAGUUUAGAGUAAACAGAAAAAAAUAUUUUUUCGCAGUAUUUACCUCGCGUUAUGCCAUUAGUAUUAGCUUCUUGCAAUCUGGAUGAUGGAUCUGCAGUAGACAUUGAUGAGUCAGAUGAUGAACAUGUCAAUGAUUUUGGUGGAGUAUCCUCUGAUGAUGAUGCUCAUGAUGAGCCCAGAGUUCGGAACAUUAGUGUUCGAACAGGAGUUUUGGAUGAAAAGGCAGCUGCGACUCAAGCUCUUGGCCUGUUUGCACUGCACACUAAAACUUCUUUUGCACCGUAUCCUUUAAAUUUCCCUUAACUAUUUUCUUUUGUCUUUUUACUAGAACUCUUUUUCAUGCCUCCUUAACUCACUUAUAAGCUACCUCGAGGAAUCAUUGAAAAUUAUGGACAAACAUUCUGCAUAUUUUCAUGAAGAUGUUCGGCUUCAAGCAGUCACUGGUUUGAAACGUGAGUUUUCUAUCUAUUGAUUAUUUGACAUCUUGAUCCAUUGAUUGACAUUAUUUUAACUGGGCCGGAACUGUGCUGACACAUAUGACCUCUUCCAUAACCCUUGGGGACUCGUCCGAGCGAGGGUUAGAUUAAUUUUCCUAGGCACAGAAAUUAGUAAACGUUGUUUGAUAGGUACAUAGCUUCAUCCCAACUUAAGGUAAACUGGCCUGAUGAUUAACAAUUUCUGACAGCUGGGUAUAUGAUCGAUGUGCCAAAUUUCCUUCUUGCCGCCUUUGUUUGAUAUGUGGUCAACUGUCUAGGCCCUCUUCCUUUACAAUUUCAUGCUCACUUAAGUCGUAUUAGAUAUAUGAAGUUCUGCGGAUCUCUUAGUAUUUAAAAGCUUACCUAAUCUAUGGGUUAGACUUGAUAAUGCUGGGGGCAUUACAGCUCGUCAUUCUAUUUCGAGUCUCCAAACUUAUAACUCUUUUAUCUGUUGGAAUUGCAGAUAUAUUGGCUGCAGCGCAUGCUAUCUUCCAGACUCAUAAUGUAAGAGACUUGCUCAUGCAUAUAUCUAUCUUUUUCCCACUCUCUCCUCCCCUCCCCGUUCCUUUAUAAUUUCCAGCCAUGGUAUUCUGAAUGUUUUGUUCUUAUGUAGGAUGGAGCUGGGAAGGCAAAUGAAAUUCUUGGUAACGCAUAAUACACAUCAUUUUUUAUCAUUAACAACAAGAAUGACGAGAAGAAGUUACGACAGUUUUUCUCCAUUGCAGAUACAAUUAUGAAUAAUUAUAUCAAAACUAUGACUGAAGAUGACGACAAGGAGGUUGUCGCUCAGGCUUGCAUGAGCGUAGCAGAUAUCAUGAAGGAUUAUGGUUUCGUAGCCAUUCAAAAUUGUGGGUGUAUAAACUUGUUGGAGUCAGUUUGAUGUAAUUCAGGAUAUUCAAAUGAUCUUACUCUUGUAUCCUAUGCUGAAAAUGGUUUCUAGAUUUAUCACCCCUUGUUGAUGCGACGCUGCUACUGCUGACGGAAAAAGCAGCUUGCCAGCAGUUAGAAGAUGAGAGUGAUGUUGAUGAUGAUGAUACCGGACAUGAUGAGGUCCUCAUGGAUGCAGUUUCUGACCUCCUUCCUGCCUUAGCAAAGUGUAUGGGUUCUCAUUUUGAACCUGUCUUUGCCAAAUUCUUUGAGCCGUUGAUGAAAUUUGCGGUGGGUGUUAGUGAUUACAGUAUUCGUUAACAUUACUUCUUGCACUGAAAUUUAGAUACUGACUGGUCCACUUCGUGUGUCUGUAGAAAGCUUCACGUCCCCCACAGGAUAGGACAAUGGUAGUUGCUAGUCUUGCUGAAGUUGCUCAAGACAUGGGUCCUCCAAUCUCUGCCUAUGUUGAUGUAAGUUUUAUCAUUUUAUGUUUUCUAUGAUUGGUGUUUGAGCUGUACUCAACCAAUCAUUGGGAGUAUUUUCUUGCAGAGGUUAAUGCCCUUGGUUCUCAAAGAAUUGGGGUCACCAGAAGCAACCAAUAGAAGAAAUGCAGCUUUCUGUGUUGGAGAGCUUUGCAAAAACGGGGGUGAAGCUGCCAUUAAGUAUCCUUUUCGUGUUACAUGAUUUAACUCUACUCGCCGACAAAAAAAAAAAAAAAAAAAAAAGAUUUAACUCUACUCACAUUGAUUUCUAUGCUCAUCCUUCUAUUGUCCUUCUGUUUCUCCUGGUUUUCUCUUGUGGUUUUGGGAGAACAUGAGAGUUGUCAGUCCAUGCCACAUUUGUCUUCCCUUGACUCAGUAGCAGAUAUAUUGAUGAUGUUCUACGAAGACUUUCCCCUCUUUUUGGGGAUUCAGAACCAGACCUUGCUGUAAGGGAUAAUGCAGCAGGUGCUACCGCAAGGAUGAUUGUUGUUCAUCCUCAACUAGUCCCGCUAAAUCAGGUAUGAUCUUGGUGGAUUGGCCAGUUUCGUCUAUCUUUUGUGUACGUCCUGAACCUUUAUGGAAACACUGUACUCAUCCCUAAGUUAUACAAUCCAGGUACUUCCAGUGUUCUUAAGAGGUCUACCUCUAAAGGAAGAUCAAGAGGAGUCCAUGGCUGUUUACAGCUGUAUAUAUUCGCUAGUUUUGGCAUCCAACCCACAGGUAACUUUUCCUAUGCAUAAUUUCGACUUUGGCAUAAUAUUACAUAGGGUGCAUUUGGUGAAUUAUUUUGCUUGGAUACAAAAUCAGAUCCUCCCUCAUAUUCCGGACCUGAUUAAAAUAUUUGGACAAGUACUGGAGUCACCAGUCGAAAAAGUAGAAGUGAAAGCGAUUGUAGGCAGCACUUUCUCCCACCUGAUCCAGGUUUAUGGAAAUCAGCUGCAGCCAAUCAUAGCUGGCCUACCGCCUUCGCAAGCUAACGCUCUUGCUGCGUUUGCUUCUACUAGUUGAUCUUCGCACGUGAUAAAUUUAUAUCUCAGAAGCUAAAACUGUCUUCUGGGUUUUUGGUUUUGUUUUUCUUUUUGAAAUCUAUUCUUUGUUCAUUUGAGUGUCAAAUCUUGUUUUUAAUAUAUCCAGUUUAGCAAUUGCGGGUAGCGAGUGUUUUCCUAUCUUGGCUUUGUCAUGUGUUCCUUUCUUCAGAGUUUUGUCUUCAUUGUUUAUUUGAUUUUCUCCAUUUAUUUAUAGUUUUUAAAAAGUUCGCAAAUUGUGUUUGUAUUUUGUAUUGUGACAUUGACAAUAUUGUAUUUUUUGGCCUUGAUAAUAUUUAAAGGAGUAUACAUACGUACAUCUAUGCAUCAUUGCUGUUUUUGGCAGCAAACAUAUCUUAUUUGUUAUACUAGCAAGUUGGAACAGAGUGCGAAAGAAGUGAGUUUCGGAUAGUGGGCUGCUAUCUCUGCUAAUGCCUUGAGUUUUUCCAAUUUCCCACAAAAUAAAUCAAGAAAAUCAACUAAGUAGCAAGCAAAGUCCAAGGAUUAGAUGCUGACAACAAAACACAAAAGUGUAAGCGUUAAUGGAAGUUCACAAGAAAGAUGCAGUGGCUAAGAAUCCUUAGGUUUUGGCGGGAACGGGGCGUGGUGAUGAUUGAGAUAUCUCUCUCUCUGUCACAUACCAAAACACUAAAUUUGGUACGGAGAUCCGGUUUAGCGUGGUUUAAUGGAUCAAGCUUUGAAAUGGGGAAAAAUGAAACAGAAACCAAAUUUUCCUCACUUGUUCCUUGUUAGAGAGAGAGAGAGAGAGAGAUGGGUUACGGAUGGGCGAUCUUCGAGGGGAUACUGGUGAUGGGAUCUCUGUGUCUCCUAGGAUCGGCUGGUCUUUGGUUUCUCAACCGGAGGCUUUACAAGGAGUACGAAGAGAAACGGGCCUUGGUUCAAAUCAUUUUCAGCGUCGUCUUCGCCUUCUCUUGCAACCUCUUACAGCUCGUUCUCUUCGAGAUCAUCCCUGUCUUAUCUAGAGAGUACGCUUUCCAGUUGCAACUUUGUUUUCUCUUAUCGAUUGUUCCGCAGCUGAAUUUUCCCUUACGUUUUGCUGACCUAAGAAUUUUUUUCUUGCAACUACUACUGUUUAGCUGCUACUCCCAGAUGAAUGAGAAAUACAUAUACCAUUGAGUGAUGUGAAAACUUAUAAUGCUGGAUAAUGUGUAACAUCAUUGACUAAUUUUAUCAUUUGGUGUGAAAGGGUUGUGAAUUUGUGCAAUGAGCUUUGACAAUUUUAUUAUUUAGUUCUGCAAUUAUAUCUGAGACAAAUCAUGAGACCUAUAUCUCUUUUUCUCUAUCACCCAGAAAAUAGCUCAAGCCUUGGAAGUUUCUAUUGAGAUUCAUUUUGCUUUGCAGGGCAAGGAUGGUAAACUGGAAGGUGGAUCUCUUUUGUUUGAUAGUGCUCCUUGUUUUCAUGUUACCGUAUUAUCAUUGCUAUUUGAUGCUUCGCAAUACUGGUAAGCAUUUUCCUCAUGCCAAAGUAUUGAUGUUCUUCUAUUCUGUGUCAUUUCAAGUGUCCUAGCAAUUCCUAAAGUUGUAUAUUACAUUACUAUAUGCUCAUUUUUUGCAUAUGAUGGACUGUAUUUUGCUUCAUCAGUUUUUCUUUAAGAAAUAGUAUGGGGCCUGGUAAUUGACACUGGCGUAAAUUUCAUUUCCUUAUUUUCUCAUCAUUCACGAGUUUCAAUUUGGAUUGAUAUGGAAGAAUAUUUAUAAGCAUUGCCUUAUGGAAUUGCUCCUUCCUUCUUUCGUUUUUUCGAUUAAAUAUCAUAUCACCACGUUUCAGGUGUUAGAAGGGAACGUGCUGCUGUUGGGGCCUUUUUAUUUUUGACUGCGUUCCUUUAUGCUUUCUGGCGGAUGGGAAUUCAUUUUCCUAUGCCCUCAGACAAAGGUAACUCUUUGAGUUUGUACACCCUGUCUUACCCUUCAACACUGUGUAGGCAAGAAGAAAGUUGAUCUUAAGUUUCAGUUAGAUCUUAUUAACAUAUUUAUGAACGAAGUGUACUUCUGAAUAUGUGUAGUAGGAAUAAUGUUGCUAUAACUUGAAAGGAGUAUCUGAGCAUGUUGACACUGAAUAUGAUUGCCUGACUGUAGAAAAUGUCUUCAGAAGAAUUUCAUAGAAUCAAUCAUCUUGCCUCCUUUAGGCUUGUGUCUAUUUUUGCACAACAGUAGCUUUUCUAUAUACAAAUCCUCUCGGUUCUUUUUUUUUUUUGGAUGCUUAAGAUCUUGUCACCGCCUGUUGGACUACUUACCUUAAACAAACACCCUUUUAUUUUGAGUUUUUGACAGGUUUUUUUUCAAUGCCUCAACUGGUCAGCAGAAUUGGGGUUAUUGGUGUGACCCUCAUGGCUGUCUUAUCGGGUUUUGGAGCUGUAAAUUUGCCUUACAGUUAUAUAUCUCUCUUCAUUAGGUACUUCCCUUUAUCAUUGCUCCAAUAUUUUCUUCUAGCUUCUGCUUAAAUCUGUAAUGGUUUUGCUGCUUAGUUUGUUUCAGCUAAUCUAUAGAGCAUUUUUCUCUGAUGGCACCAUAAACUGGAGUGAAAAAAUAGAACGAUAUAAUUAGGUAACUGCCACUUUAAUUUGGAAAUGAUAGCAAAAAAUAAGAAAUAAAAAGAUACCGGGUUGAUGUGGACAGAAAAUGUUACGUAAACACUCAUUCUUUAAUGACGCAAAUGGUUUUGUGGAUUUUAAUUUGAAGUAGCUAAGCUAUGAAUAGCGUUUCAUCUUCUGUGUUGUAAAUGGUUCUACACUGAUUGAAGAGCAGCUGGAUUGGGAAUUUUUUUAUUUUUUUUUUAUCUAACAGCGUUGUCAUGUUUUCUGUAUCUCUGGAAACAUACAGGGAGAUUGAAGAAUCUGAAAUAAAAUCGCUGGAAAGGCAGCUGAUGCAAUCAAUUGAUACUUGCAUAGCUAAGAAGAAGAAAAUUAUUUUAUGUCAAGUGGAGGUGGAACGAAUUCAAGUAUCAGAAGAGGUAUGUUUCCUUCUUCUAUUUUAGUACGUGAUUGUAAUUUAAAGUUUCAUAUUAUUUAACAUUCUGCAUUUGGGUUAGGAUUCUUAUCAAAUCUGUGUAUUUCGCUACUCUAUGGUAAAAUGCUCUUCAGGCUCUGAAAUGAUUUUUGUUAUCAUAACACUUAUUUUUUUAUGCAUCAGUCGAAAUGCCAUUAAAACAAUUUUCCACAUAGACUGAUAAAUGAUAUUUCAUAAUUAUGCUUUUCUCUUGCUGCUAAUUCUAAAAUGAGCUUAGGAAGUAAUCAUUUAGUGCUUUUGGCUUUCAGAAUCAAAAAGGUAGGUCUUUCUUUAGAAGAUUUGUCGGGACUGUUGUGCGGUCGGUUCAAGAUGACCAAAAGGAGCAAGGUCAGUUUAUAUAAUUUAGUUUCAGAUGCAGUUGUAUCUGCACAACAUUAUCUUCCUAGGAGUGAUUUUAUAUGUGCACUAUUUUUGAUGCCAUUAUGUUUUCCUUUAUUUGAAAGAAACCAUCUAAAUUUAUUUGAUAGAUAAAAUUUUCAUCUUGCUUCUGUCAGCUGAAAUUUUUUGACGUUUCGAUAGAGAAUAGGUUGGGCUGUUACAGUUUCCCUCUAUUAUCAGGUUAAAGGUCAGAAUAGGAUCAUGUAUUUUCCUUAGAAUUUUAUAGUGUACAUAAUAAUAUGAGAUAUUAGCUCAGCAUAUUAGUUACCGUUUGUUGAUAUCUCCUCGAAUCAUUGAUGUGUUUCUUUUACAGAUAUCAAACUAAUGGAGGCGGAGGUUGAAGGUCUAGAAGAGCUUUCAAAGCAGCUAUUCUUGGAAAUUUAUGAACUCCGCCAAGCAAAGGUCCCCCUUUAGCACUGUGCCAUUAGUUUAAGUUAUCUGCAGAUUUCUACUCAUUGGCAUCUUCGACUAAAUUAUCUAUUUCUUAGUUUAUUACCUGUAGGUCUUGUUACUUUGUAACAUACACAUUCUAUAAGCAUUUAUCUAGCUUCAUUUCGUUUGCAGGAUGCUGCUGCUUUUUCUCGAACUUGGAAGGGUCAUGUGCAGAACUUACUUGGCUAUGCGUGUUCCAUUUACUGUGUGUAUAAGAUGUUAAAGGUAAUUUUUUUGUGCUUUAUGUGAAGUGAUAGCCUUCAGUUCUUCUUACUCUAUGUAUUCUCAUAUUCCAAGGCUAUAUUAAAUUCGUCCACAUGAAUGAAACAAUGGAUUAUGGAUUUUUGUGGUUAGUGUUAAUUUAUUUAAUAGAGAUUUGAUGCAGAGUUGCUUACAUAUUUUCAAAGAUCCCAGUAGAUGGAUAGAUCUAAAAUUUGUGGAUCCCAUUUCAUUGUGUGUGUUUCUGGGAUGUGAACUUUGUAGCUGUUCUCAGGACAGUAAUUGUUUUAUUAGAAGAAAAUAUCGCCAAUAUCUCUUGUUCUGUGUUUGACAUUUGUAACUGUGGACCAGUGUUUCUAACAUCUCUGUUAUACCCUUUGUUUUAUCUGCAGUCUCUUCAAAGUGUCGUUUUCAAGGAGGUAUUCUCAUGUUUUUAUACCCUUUAUGAUGAAUGGUUGCAUCUGUUAUCAUCAUUUGUUUACUUAUUUACUACAUGGAAUAGUAAUCAGAUUAUUUACAGGCAGGCACAAAAGAUCCUGUCACGAUGAUGAUCAGUAUAUUCUUGCAGUUCUUUGAUAUAGGAGUAGAUGCUGCAUUGCUCUCACAGGUGUGCUUGACUGAGUUUUUGAUGACUUUAAUCUUGAAAAUGCCUAUAUGGUUCUUCAAUUACCUUAUGAGUCUAUUGGUUUCCCAGGAUCUUGUAAACGUAGGUCUGACUCUGUAUCUUUCUCUAUCAUUUUCAGUAUAUUUCCCUGUUGUUUAUUGGGAUGUUGAUCGUGAUAUCAGUGAGGGGAUUCUUGACGAAUCUGAUGAAGGUGCGUUCUAAUUUUAACGUUUAAAAUUUCUUCCAUUUGUCUUUAUACAAUCUUUUGUGAUUUCCACGUAUUUUGAAGCUUUUUAGUGUCUACGGGAAACUAUUACCCAGCCUUUAACAUGUUUAAAUAGACAGAGUCUGUCACUUUUUUUGCACCAGCAAACUUUCCUUGAGAAAGUUGUAGUUGUUUGAGCAAAGCACAUGAACAUAUAUCUCAAUUGCAGAUGUAGAGUAAUUUAACUGAGUAUUUGUUGCAGUAGCAUUACGGAUCUACUCAAUUAAUUUUUAACCUGAAUAUAAAACAAAUUGAUGGCUACUUGAUUGGCAGUAGUAUGGUGAUUUUACAUUUUACUGAAACAUAACUAACAAUAUACAUUUUACAGUUCUUCUUUGCAGUGUCAAGGGUAGGGAGUGGUUCUUCAAGCAAUGUUGUGCUUUUCCUAUCCGAAAUCAUGGGAAUGUACUUUUUGUCUUCCAUUCUUCUUAUAAGAAAAAGCUUGAGAAAUGAGUACAGGUACCUGCUCUUAACUAAAAUGAAUAAUAAACUAAUUGCUGUAUGUGUCGUUAUGUACAUGUUUCUUCUGAUCUAAAGAUGGAAAAGUAGAUUAUAUUACUGAAAGCUUUUUUGUUGGUACAGAGGGAUAAUAACAGAUGUAUUAGGCGGAGAUAUUCAAUUUGAUUUUUAUCAUCGAUGGUUUGAUGCAAUAUUCGUGGCGAGCGCUUUUCUUUCUCUGCUUUUGCUUUCUGCGCACUACACAUCUCGUCAAAUUGAUAAGCACCCAAUUGACUAAGAGCAAGCAUCUGUAAGUUCCCUUCCAUUCAGUGUUUGAUUGAAUUUUGAUGUAGAUUAAAGUAGUUGAGUCAUUGACAUAUGUACAGUUUUUGAGCUGAAAGGAUUAGUCUUGAGUUGUUUUUCUUUCUUCCUCAGGUGUGUGUGUCUGUGAUUAGCUGAUUAGUUGUAAAGAGAAUGAGAGUUAUAUAGAGAGUACCGGCAAAUCCUAAUGGUUACUUGUAACUUGAGUUUGGGGGAUUAGCAUUCAUUACAUAUUUUUUAUGCAUGCUUAUAUUAUAUAUCAUGUAAAUUUUCUUUUGCAGUGUACGUACUUUCAAGGAGGAGGAAAAGAAAAAAAGAAAAAGAGUAGUCUAGUCGCCACAAUGAUUUCAUGUGGCAUUAAUUGAGAGGACUUCUUUUGUUGUUGGUUCGUUGUGUGAGGAUAUUAUUGUGGUGGUAGAGAGAAAGCUGGUAAGUGUUAGGUUCAAAAUAUAUCUGCUUCUGUUUAUAUAUAUAUUAUAAUGCAUAUGUCGACGCAGUGACGCUUUUGAUCAAACCACAUUGUAUUCCAGGAAUAGAAUUCUCAAUACUGAUAUCUGUUUAUAAAAAAUAUAAAAAAUAUCCACAGAAAGGUGAGAAAGAGAUAACAUCAGUGCAGGAUAAAAUGACGUUGGUUCUCUAGGGAAGAGCCAACUACGCAACACCAGUCACUGCCGCCAAGAGUUACCAAUAUAUAUAUUCCUCGUUUUGUCUUAAUCUUGAUCCUCAUAGAUCAUUACAUAAAAUCAUUCAGCUGACUGCUAAUUAAUUAAUCAAUCGGUUGUAGGGAAAAAUCAAUAUUUUGCCACAGCAAAACAGCUGAAGAACUAAUCAAUUUGUAAUUCAAGUUAAAGGCCUCUAUUUCAAAAUAAAAUAUCUAAUUACAGUAGACAAAUAAAAUAUCUACGAUAAGUAAAAGUACAGAAAGCAAUUAUUUUUGUUGGAACGCUUCACGGCGGGUGAAAGAAAAAGAGAGGCUUCAACGGCCUUUGAGUUGUUUGUCACUUUGUUGGCUCAGCGCCGCGCUGUCUCUCUAAAACAGCCUGGUGGUAAGCUUCUUCUACGUUUUCCCUUUUUUGACCAUAAUUGUUCCGUAAACUUUUGCUUUUUGCUUAGUCUCGAUCUACUUGAUUGCUUUCACGCAGAAACCCUAAUUUCUCGGAGAACCGGCCCUGCAGUGUUUACCCUUUCUGAUGAGGUUUCUGUUCCGAUUUUUUGUCUAUCUUCACUUUUGGUGUUUCGAUUUUUUCCUGUGACCAAAUUUGAGACUCUGGCUUCUUCCUUUCGAGUGUUUUACUACAUUUUGGUGAUUUUUUUUUUUUUUUAGGUGAACAUUAGCUGAUUUCUAAACGGGAAGCUGUUGAUUUUGUGUUAAAGCUUGGAUGAUAGAGACACUUGAUUUUCUCUGACAAUGACUACACGAAGAAAUGGCAUUUCUAGGAACCAGCGGGUUGAGAGUUUUCGCGGUGAAGGCCCUAACUGGAUCCUUAUUGCUGGGGGUGCCUUGUUGAGUACAUUGUCUAUUCGCUUUGGCUACAAAUUAAAGCAGUCCGUUGACUCGAAACCUCACUCCAAUGGUGGAUUAAAACGUACUUAUAGGUUUUACUGCUUUUACAUGUCCUACCAAUGUAUUCGUUUGAAAAAAAAACUAAUCUUAUUUGGAGGGUGGUUGACUUGUUGUUUUGCAGCCAGUGGAACAUCUGACAGAGGAAGAUCUCUAGGAUGCUGUUUGCAUUCUAAUGCGUCUCCCUGUGAUAGGAAUAAUGAUUUUUGCUUCCACUCCACUUCCGGUGAGAGUUUGUGAGUUGGUAAUUCCUACCAGCUGCAUUUUCUUUUACUUUAUCUUGACUCUACAUAGUCUCUUGCUGGGUUUGCUAAGAUAUUUUUGAGAAUGUUUUGUAAAUUAGUUUGGACAUGGUUCUUACAAGUUUGUAGCCUUUAGUUUCUUACAUAGUGAUGUCAUUGUAGCUCAAUCACGAAUCAUACUUUAAGUAGCUACUUGCAUCAAUGAGCUGGCAACUAUGGAGGAAGUAUCCCCAUAUGAUGGGUUGUAGUAUCUCAGAAUUGUUACUCUCAGGAACUGAAUUUCGUUCCAGAAAAGUUUUGUGUGGGUGUUCUGAAAGUUGGCUUCUUUUCUUAAUGCAGGAACUGAGAAUGGGGACGGUAAUCAUGCUACAAAUGAGCAUAUUGCGGUGUCCAGUACCACGUUGCCUCUUGUGACAGUUCCUAGUCCAACAUAUAGCAAAGAGAAUGGAGUCAUGUGGGGAUCUACUCCUGAUCACCUGGAAGUUCCCAUGAAACCAUACCAUCACCAGUCAACCUGCUCAGAUUCUCCUUGUGUAUCUGAAUCCGGCUCAGACAUCUUCAGCAAGCGAGAAGUAAUACAGAAACUGAGGCAACAGCUGAAGAGACGUGACGACAUGAUAGUUGAAAUGCAAGAACAGAUUCUGGAGUUGCAAAACUCGCUUAACGCGCAGAUGGGAGACUCUAGCCAUCUACAAACACAGCUAGACACAACGAACAGGGAUCUUUUUGAAUCAGAGAGAGAAGUUCAGAGACUGAGAAAGGCAAUCGCUGAUCACUGUGUGGGACAAGCAGGUAGCAAUGGUUGGAGUGGUGAUGUGAACGGGUUUAUGGGAAGUGAAAACAGCUAUGAGUCACCACCAGAAAAAGGAUCCAAGGAUGGAGAAAGAAUAGAGAUGUUGAAAAAGGAAGUGGGUGAGCUGAAAGAGGUAAUAGAAGGGAAGGAGUAUCUACUUAGGAGCUAUAAAGAGCAGAAGAUAGAGCUAUUGCAGAAGGUGAAAGAGUUGCAGCAGAGAUUGGACUCACAGCUCCCAAGCAUUUUGUAGGUGGAAAGGUUAGGCAUUGUGCAUUCUUAUAACUACUCUCUCUUCUUAUCUCGAGAAAAAAAAAAGAAAGGAUAUAUGAACUCUCCGAGGAAACCUCUCUUCUGACUACAGAUUGUUUUGGUUGUUUUAAUGCUUCGGCUUUGAAUGUCUGGAUCCUUUUUUGGGUUGUCACCUCUGAUUAAUCCUUUGUUUUUUGUUUUUUUCUGUUUCUGCUGGUGAAGUGAAUACUGGAAAUCUGAAAACUCAAAUACAAAUUCGUGUCUCAAGGCAUAUAAGCUGGUCAUAUUGUGGAGUUUCAGUUGGAAGUUGGUUGCUCUUUAACAAGAAAGUUGGUUACUUGUUAAAUAUUUUAAUUUAUCAAAUUCAUAAGGUAGAAUUCGUUAGGGAAGGACAAAUUAAUGUUAUUAAAUUGUAGUGUCUACAUAGACACAUAGUGAAGAAGACAAAGGGAAAAAAUGUCACAUAUAGAUCGAUCCAGCCAGCUGGUAAGUUAUUAAUUGUGUUCCACUAAGAGACGUAUAGAUAUCAAAGAUAGAUAAAAUUGAUAAUCAAUAGAAGAAGAUGUAUAAAGUGCAAAUUACACAUGUAUCAAAAUUUCUUAUACAAAUGUAGAUUUCCUUAUUUGGAAUGAUUAAACAGAAAAUAAAGAAAAUUGAGAGCUGAAUUUCUAUGAGUCUCUCACAACCACCGUGAGCGUCAUCCAUGGGACGUGGUUGACGCGUGCGGGGGAUUUUUCGUUUUUUAUUUUAUUUUAAUAAAAUUAACAGAGAAAAGAAAAAAAACGAAGGAGCUGUGAGGCGCCGUCUCUUCAACCUCUUCCCCUCCCUCCUCCACUUAGCUUCUCUCUCCCUCGAGGGUUUUACCAGGCAAGUUACACCAUAUCCCAUCGUCGGAGACUCAACGAUUCUUCUCGGAAUCUUAUUUCUCUAUUCAGCAAUUUCCGAUUGUGGCGCUGAGACAUAUACACACACAGCCAACACUUAAAAAAGUCAAGCAGGAGAAGCUUUUCUCUGUCUAUAAAGUGAAAUUAUGGAGCCCUCAUUUUUUCAAAGUUUUCUAUGAGGUUUGUAUUGCGAUUAUACUUCUCUGUACUCUCCCCUUUUUUUGUGGGCUUCACUCACUCUCACUUGAACUUUUCAGCGCAAAAAUCCAUUUUGAGUAGUUCUCUCGGAUUGUGUAUUCAUGUUUCUCCUUUUCAUUUCGAUUCUUGUCUUCAUUAAGGGCUGAGAUAGCGAUUCUAAACUAAGGUUGCUUUUCUAUUUCUAUUUGCUUCAUGUUCAAGCCAAGUAUCAUCUCUUUGUCUCUCUAGAUGAGACUUUACUUUUUGAGGUUGCAUUUUAUUUUAGAGUUGAGAGUCUGCUACCAGUCGAUUCAUUAUACUUUCUCACCUGAGACUGUUUGUUUGACUAAGAGAAAUGAAGAAUCCUGUUUCACAUUUCUGAAGCAAAAUUGUUAGCUGUGAAUGAAAACCUUACUGAUGGUGUAUAGCUAUGAACUGGAAUUUCCAACCCAUUUUCUCCUUUUUAGUGUUACUCUGGUUUCAUGUUUUGUUUUGUUGUCUUCUCUGCUUGAUUGUGUUUGAGGUAAUGCUCUAAUCGUGAUUCCUUUCAUCCCAAUAUCUUUGUAUAUUUUAUUUCUGGAACCUUUCCUCGGUUUUUAGCAUGUAGUGAUUUUAAAUAUUUAUUCCGGUGGUUUUUAUUGAGUUGACUUGAUGAAAUUUCCCCUAUUCAUUCUGAUUGUUGAUCAUGAUUUAUUCUUGCAUCCGGUCAAUGUAGGUUAUGUUUGGAUGAUAGAGACAUUUUGACUUACUCUUACAAUGAGUACACGAAGAAAUGGUAUUCCCAAGCAUCAGCGAGCUGAGAAAUUUUUUGGUGAAGGACCAAAUUGGAUACUAAUUGCAGGGGGUGCCUUGCUGAGCACAUUGUCCAUUCGAUUUGGGUACAAGCUAAAGCAGUCACUUGAUUGGAAACCUCAAUUGAAUGGCUCUGCUAAGUUAAAAGGUGCUUACUUUGCUGCUAUGUUGCGUAACAUGUUUUUUUAUCUGAUUGUAGUUUUUGUCUCUUAAUAAAAGUUUGUUGUGCAGCCAAUGGGACAUCUGAGAGGCCAAAAUCUUCAAGCUGUUGCUUGCAUUCUAACACGUCUUCCUGUGGGCACAACAAUGAUUAUUGUUGCUUUCGCUCCAUUCCAGGUGUGACUUUGUAGCUUUCUGUUUUUAUAUUUUCAUAUGGAUUUUCCCAUACAUAUUUGUUUAAGUCACUAUAUGCUAGUGUCUUGGCCUUGUGUCAUCUCUUACUGGUUUCCUUUCAUCAACCGUGAUGUGAAAAAGAUGUGUGAGAAAUAGGAAAAUCUAGUUUAAAUGAGGUGUAGAUGUUGCUACAGAGUUCUAGUUUUUGCCUACUGGUGUCUUUGAAGGCCAAUUACAGAACAUAUAUUAAUGUGCAUGAACGAAUUGGCAACUAGGAAUUCCAAUUUGAAGUUGUGAAAUUCUUAAAAUAGUUAUAAGAUUUUUCAUCUUCCAAGAACUUGUUGAACCUAAUAUUUAUUGUUUCGUUGUGGCAUGUUAUCAUUUAUAUGCAUCAAUGAGGCUGGCAAGUAGGGAAGCAGAAUUUCGGCAAUGAUUGUUGUCUUUAGUGGGUUGUAUGCUAACGAUAGUUACAGGAUUUGUCAUUUCCAAGAAAUGGUUGAAGCAUAGUUACAAGAUUUUUGUACUAUUAUAACCAAAAAUGAGUUCUUUUGGCUCUCUGGAAACUUUCUGAAUUCUCUAUCCAUGUAGUCCAGAGCAGCCAGUCAUGUGUGGAUCUCAUCAGACUUUGCUUCUUCUUAUUUUUUGUAGGCAGUGAGAAUGUGGAGGGAAAAGAGAUGACAAACGAGCAAAUGGUAUCCGCAUCUGACACUUCACUGCCUCUUGUGACAGUUCCUGCGCCAUCAUUUAGUAAAGAAAAUGGAGUCAUGUGGGCAAGUUCUCCUGAUCGCCUGGAACUUCCCCCAAAACCAUACAAUCACCAUUCUACCUGCUCAGAUUCUCCUUGCGUAUCUGAAACCAGCUCAGACAUCUUCAGCAAACGAGAAGUAAUACAGAAACUGAGGCAACAGCUGAAGAGACGUGAUGACAUGAUACUGGAAAUGCAGGAACAGAUAUUGGAGCUGGAAAACUCGUAUAAUGCGCAGAUGGCACACUCUAGCCAUCUCCAGGCACAGCUAGACACAAUGAACAGAGAUCUAUUUGAAUCGGAAAGAGAAGUCCAGAGACUUAGAAAAGCGAUAGCUGAUCACAGCGUGGGAUGCGGCACAGGUAGCAAUGGAAAGACAUCUCCUGUUGCACCUUGGAGUGGCCAUGUGAAUGGGUUUAUGGACAGCGAAAGCAACUAUGAGUCACAGGAAAAAGGAUUAAGGGAUGGGGAAAGAGUAGAGAUGUUGAAAAAGGAAGUGGGUGAGCUGAAAGAGGUAAUAGAAGGGAAGGAGUAUCUACUUAGGAGCUAUAAAGAGCAGAAGAUAGAGCUCUUGCAGAAGGUGAAAGAGUUGCAGCAGAGAUUGGACUCACAGGUCCCAAACAUAUUGUAGGUGGAAAGGUUAGGCAUUGUGCAUACUUGCGUCUCUUCUUUUCGUUUUGUUUUCUAUUAUUUUCUGGUUCUUUUUCCUUUUUCGAGAAGAUGAAUCUAUGUCCUAAGAUAAGAUCGUUGGAGAUAGAGGUGAUUUUCAGGUUCUUUCUAGCUUCAGCUUUCGUUUAUGAAUUGUCUUGAUUCUGUUUUUGUUGGGGUCUUUUAUCUCUUCUCUCUUUCUAAGCGUUUGGUGUAUAAAGGAAAAUAGUGGUUGAAGAGUUUGCCGCGGAAUUAGUUUCCUGCUUUUCCUUGUUCUAUUCUCCAUUAAAAUGGUAACUAACUAAACCACCAUCAACUAUAGUUUCGUGCCUUAGUAAUGACAAUUAAAAAUGAAAUUAGUGAAGAAAAAAUUGUAAUUCAAUGAUUCAUAUAAUUUGAUGUUUUGGAGGAAGUAGUGACAAAGGGUAAGUCACAUAUUAUAAAGACAGGUUUGAUUGACGAACAGCACUCUUACAUAAAGUCUUAGCAUUAGCAAUAGCAACCAUAUAUAUAUGUAAGAUUAAGAUUAUUAGUACAAAUGUAAAAUUUUUAUAAACGGAAUUAGAAAGUGUAAAUUGGGCAUAAGAUUGUAACCAAUGACCGAAUCAAAUUAAGAUUGUCACUUGAAGAAGAAUAGCCUAAAAUAAUAGUCCACUUGGAAAAAUUAAUAAUAGAAUACUUAAUUAUUUUAAAAAGGUAAUUAAAAAAAGAAUUGUCCGCAUGCUUAUUUUGAAGUCUGGGUUUGAAUAGUCGCAAAAUCAGACAUUUAUAUAAAAAUAGAGUUUUACUUUUUAAUCCUAAUAGGAUAAGUUUAUGUUUUUUAUUGAUAAAAAUAUAUAUAAAUAAGAGAAAAUGGGAGAGUAAACUUUAUCCUCUCAGAGGGAGUCUCUCACGUUUUGCUGGUCUUUCUUCCUCCUCUCGCUUUGGAUGGAGAUGUGAGCUUUCUUCUUUCUCUUCAUCCCUCUCUCUCUUUUAUAUUAUACCUACGACGACCCCAAAUACCUAAAAAUUCUUAAUAUCCAUGGCCCUCUCGCUCCUCUCUCCAGUUUCUGUCUCUGCCUCUGUUUCUUUUACUCUCUCCACCAUUACCGCUUCUAAUAAUGCCUCAUCCUCUCUCUCCCCUCUUUACUCUUUAUAUCAACCCAAAGGUCCCUCACGAACCACAACCACGACCUCGUUUUUCGGAGGCUCGGGGAACUUGAGGAUUGAUUCCAUGGCGGAUAAGAGGAAAUUGUGUCUCAUGCUUUGUACCAAUGGCGCCGCCGGCGGUGAAUUGGAUGAUAUGGACGAAGGUGAUAUCGAGAGGAUUGGAAAUCACGACGAAGAUGACGACGAAUUGAUACUAGGCCAUGCUAAUGGUUCCUCUGCUUCGCCUGAGAGAUGGGAUGUUUUGGGUCUCGGCCAAGCCAUGGUCAGUAUUUUUCUUUUCUUUUGUUCCUAUGAAUCAUUCAAGCCAAAUUACUCUCAAAAUGUUUUUUAUUCGAUUGCCAUUGAAGCUCAAUUGUCUCUAUGAUUGAGAAUCUCUAGCUUCAUAUUACCCUUGCUUGAAUCCUCAGAUACUUACUUGCUUGCUCCAUUAGAAAACUGAAUGGGGAAAACAAAUAAUAUUGUCGCUGAUGGUGUGUUUUAAAUGUUUUAGGUAGAUUUCUCUGGAGUUGUGGAUGAUGAAUUUCUAGAGAAACUAGGUUUAGAAAAGGGAACAAGGAAACUAAUUAAUCAUGAGGAGAGGGGUAAAUUAUUACAAGCAAUGGAUGGUUGCAGCUAUAAGGCAGCAGCUGGAGGGUCAUUGUCCAACACUCUUGUUGCUCUUGCAAGAUUAGGUUCUCAAUCCAUUGGUGACCGGCCUUUGAAUGUGGCAAUGGCUGGCAGUAUUGGAGGUGACCCUCUCGGGAGCUUUUACGGGUACUACACUUUCUUUUACUUAUAUGAUGACCCUCUUCUUCUUUUUUUGGCUGAUUGUGUAUGUCUUUAGCUUGCAAAUGGUGUGAAAAUAUCUGUAUUCUUCGUCCUAGUAUCCGAUUGGUUUUAUGCUAGAGUAGUUUCUAAGGCUUCAAACUAGACUAUCAUUACAUUUACUGAUGAUCAACACCUCACAAAAAUUUAGUUUUUUAGCUGCGGAUUGGGGUUGAUCUAUGUAUUCUAAAAUGCCCCAUCAAAUUUUGCCUCUAGAUGACUGAUGAUAGGUUAUAAAUGGUUUUCUAUGAUUUGCUUCUUCCGUCAUUUUGUUUGGUUUACUCACAAGGGGAGUACUUCUUAUGUUCUGUAGGACUAAACUACGUCGAGCAAAUGUCAAUUUUCUUUCUGCUCCAAUUAAGGAUGGAACAACCGGAACAGUGAUAGUUCUUACAACUCCUGAUGCACAACGUACUAUGCUUGCAUAUCAGGUAGGAUUUAUGAUCACUCUAAACUGCUAUUGCAAUGUAUUAAUGUUCAAAAUAUAAGGAUUUCGUUUUUUGCUUUUGCAAAGAGUAGAGGAAAGUUAACUUUUAAAGUAGGUGAUCUACAAGAAUUUUUCAUGAAUUAAGUGGUAGGAUCAAUAGCCUGCAUGAAGCAACCAAAUUGAAUAGUAGUAGAAUUGCUAAUUCCGAUAAGAUGUCUGUUUGAGUGAAACCACUAAUGAAAAACCUAAUAUGUAUAAUUUCAGGGAACAUCCUCUGUCGUUAACUAUGAUUCUUGUUUGGCUAGUUUGAUAUCCAAGACAAAUGUCUUUGUUGUGGAAGGCUAUUUGUUUGAGCUUCCUGAUACUAUAAGGACCAUAACAAAAGCAUGCGAAGAAGCCCACAGAAAUGGGGCACUUGUUGCUGUGACAGCGUCAGAUGUGUCUUGCAUAGAGAGGCAUUAUGAUGAUUUCUGGUGAGUUACUGUUCUUUUUCUUAAUCCAUUCUUGCGUCUAUUUAAUGUCAUUUUUUAAUAUACAUAUUAGGUUUUUCAUUAGUGGUUUCACUCAAACAGACAUCAUAUCGGAAUUAACAAUUCAAACAGACAUCUUACAGAGUUACAGUCCAUCAUAGGACCAGUUGAAAAUUGUAAAAAGGGAGUGAUUAUCUUUGUAGCUUGAUUAGUCAUAUAAUCUUUGAUUCUUCUGUCCGCAAAUUUUUGAAUCUGAAGAAACAAAACUUGAAACUAAAUGGGGAAUUCUGUUGUCUAAUCUCCAUUGUUAUCUAAGUUGUUUGCUUUUGUUGGUUUCAUUGUCUCCAUCUUUUUUCGUUUUUCGAGAAAAGAAAAAUGCAAAUGUUGAUGGUUUUGUGUUGAUUCAGGGACAUUGUGGGGAACUAUGCAGAUAUUGUAUUUGCAAAUAGCGAUGAAGCAAGAGCGUUUUGUCACUUUUCCGCAGAGGAAAGCCCAAUAUCAGCGACAAGGUACAUGAGCCACUUUGUUCCAUUUGUUUCGGUGACGGAUGGAAUCAACGGAUCAUACAUUGGAGUAAAAGGAGAGGCCAUAUACAUUCCUCCUUCCCCAUGCGUGCCAGUUGACACAUGUGGUGCUGGAGAUGCAUACGCUUCAGGGAUCUUAUACGGUAUCUUGAGAGGAGUAUCUGACUUGAAAGGAAUGGGAGAUAUGGCGGCUACAAUUGCAGCGACUGUGGUGGGUCAACAAGGAACCAGGCUUAGGGUUCAGGACGCGGUUGAGCUGGCUCGAUCACAUGCCUACCGUCUCAACGGUUCAGGUGUUCGAACAGAUAUUGGGUCUUGAUCAAAUUUCUAGCUUGUGAUUUUUAGCUUUAUGAUUCAUUCUUUGAUUUUCAUGUUGUAGUGCCUUUUGCAAUUGACUUGUAAUCUUUGUAUGUAACAUUUUAGUAUAUAUAAACAAAGUCUGAUAGAAUAAUAUUCUUGCAUAAACUAGUAAUGAGUUUAUUGGGAAUUCCAACAUGUAAUUCCAUGGGAAUAUUUUCUAGCCUUAACAGUGCUAUAACAAAGCCUGCGGCUUGAUUUAAAGACACAAUCUUGGUCAAUUUUUGAGCUCAGCAGCGUGCAGAGGAGAGUUCACUAAUUUGACAUUCAGGAACUCUUUCACGCAAUACCAAUAUCUUAAACAGGUUCUAAGGAUGGUCAUAUCGAUGACAACCGUAAAUACAAAGUUGGACUGACUGCUUAUAAGCUGUUGUUACGUGGAACAUGGAUAUUUUAUUCAUACAGUAGCAUGAUUGUAGCAGAACGAGUGAUGAAACUUAUUAACCACGAGGACGCCCUCUAGUGCAUCCAGAAUCUUAAAAAGGCCCAUUUAUACCUCAAAUGGGACUACAUUGCAAUUACACAAGACCCACAUUAUCGUCUUUAACCCUUCCUACCACUAUGACCUCCUCUCCCUCCAAUAAGGACGCUCGUUGUCUACCUGAAGGGUUAUUCUGUGUCUCCAAAGGCUCAUACCUCUCUGCUCGGCUGUGAAAUCGGCUGUUGAACAUGUUGACAUAUAAGUCAGAAGAGAUUGACAAAAAAAUUGAUCAUCGAUCUGGGAAAAAAAAAAAAAAAAACAAGUUGACAUAUAAGUCAGAAAAGAUUGGUUUGAGGAAAAAAAAAAUUUGGACCAUUUCUCGAUUUGUGCGUGUCAUCCUUGCGCAGGGGCCAUGCUAAUCUUCUCUGUAUCGUUCCAAUUUUAUCGGAUGUCCCCGAAGGGACAAUCGCUUAGCUGAAUCCAACGUUAUAUAAACGCAUCUUUGUUCUUGAGAGCAAACGAUGUGGGACUACUAAUGUUAUAUUUUGAGGUAUAAAUGGGCCUUUUGCUACUCCGUUAUGGCCCAUUAUACCAACGACCCAAUCUAUUGUUUUAAGAAUUCAAACCUUGAGUUUAAUCUCGCAUUACAUAUUUGUAUCGACAAAUUUGUAUGUUUAACACUUAAAUGGUCACUAGAUCCGGACCCGCACAUACGUGCGGGAUUGAUUUCAAAAAUUAAGUUUACUAUCAUGUUUGCAAUAUAUUACGUACAUGCAGUGUUAUGUUUAUAAACGAAAUUAUUAUAAAUGUUAUUAAAAUUCGUAAUCCGAACUUGUACAUGUUCAAUAUUUGUUUGUUUUUAAUUCGGUAUAGACAAAAGAAACGAUAGGAUUUGGAUUUUUUUCCCAGUAACGAUAACUACAUUAAAAAAAUAGUAAUAUAAAAGUGAUUUGUUUAUGUCGGAACAUGAACCCCAUCUCGUCUUGUCCCUUUCUAGAUAUCUCAUGUUUUUCCAUCUCUGAACCAUGGUUUUAAACUUUUAAUUAUAAUUUAUCCAUUUGAGAUCGUAUAUUUUAUUCCAACAAAUAGGAAAUAGGUAAAAAAUCAAGACUUAUUUGAAGAUAUUUUUAUUUGGUAUGAUAUUUAUAACAUAAACAUAUAUUGGUUUGCUUUUAUCAAAUUGGUGAAUAUUUGAAGUACUUAUCGCUUUACAAUAAAUUUUGGAUCAACAUUUGAUCAAAGCGGACCCGGAUUGAGUGUGAACCAGUUUAGUAAUCAGCUAAAUUUCUAUUAAACCCGUAGACUACUGAACCGGAUAAAGACAAAGAAAUAAACUUUAUAACUUCUCGGCCUUGAUGGCCCAAAUAUAUUUGUCAGGCGGGUCAAAAUCGUCCGCUAUGCAUGCUUUGCAACAGAUUAAAAUAAUUUUAACCCCACAAAAGUUCCAUUCAACAUAAUCUACAUUAAUGGUAUGUCCGCAUAUGUCUUGCUUGAAUUCGUAUUACCCUAAAUUUUUUUCUCCAAUUUUUUUAGGAAAAGUUUAGAUAAUGAUUUUUAUUUUCCGAAUUAUUGUUUUCUCCCCGUACCCGUUAUUUCUUGUAGUUUAUAUUAAUAAAUAGUAGUUCCACAUUUACUCUGCUUGAAUUCACGUUACACAAAAUUCUCGUUACUCCAUAUUUUAUUAGGAAUAGUUUAGAUAAUGGUUUUAAUUUUCUAAAUUACUCGUUUCCUUUCCGUACUUAUUAUUUCAUGUACCAAUAUUUGCAGUAACAAAGAAAGUUGAAAUUAAAUUAAGCUAUGUAAAUCUCAAUUUCCUGUAUCAUACCAGUUAUCUAAUAUUUAAAAAUUAAAAUUGAACUUAACUAUCCAAAUAUCCACCUUUUUGUUUCCUCAGUUUUAAUGUCUCCAUCUAGUCUAGUAGUUAUAUUAUGAAUUAUGCACUAAUUAUAUGUAGUAUUGAAUUUAUCUUUUCCGUUUAGUAGAACAAACAAAUAGAGUAGAAACAAAAGAAAAUAAAGAAUCUGAAAUUAUCAUGGUUUCUUUAUGUUGUUUAUUUUUAAUAUAUAUUUUUUUGUCUACACAUCUGAAAUUAAAGCUGCUGAAAAUCUGGUUUGAAUUAUUUUCAUAAUAUUAGUUUUGGAAAUGAUUAGGAUUUGAGAUUUUUAACUUAAUGAUUAAUAUCUAUGAUAUUAAAUCGAUUUUUUUAUAAAAACACAAAAUCUUUGUACCUAUUUUAAAGCAUGGUAAAUGGUAUGAAGUUUUUUUUAUUGUUUUGUUAUAUUAGUUACGGAUAAUAGUAAUUGUAGGGGGGUUUAGAUUUUUUUUCUAAUUUCCUUUUUUUUACGCUAGAGAAUUUUAUUAAUUAAGUGGCUCAAUUAAAAAAAAUUAGAUUGAAAAAGAUUUUUUAAAUAUUACACAGUAUUUAGUUUUUAUAUUAGUUAUGGUUAACACUAAUUGUGAGUGGCUUAAAU